AGUCCUCCAGUAGUUCUUUAUCUCGUUGUCGGUUCUUCCAGGCAGAUGCUUAGCGAUUUUCGACCACCUGUACGUAUGCACAGUUCAAGAUAAGGGAAGAGGAAUUGGAAGGGGCCGUUUUUAUCCAGAAAGAGCGAAAACAAUAUGGUAGGUGUCGAUUUCAUCAUAAGUAGGCAGCAAUUGAGGAUUGGGGUCUUUCAAGGUUAUAACAUGUGCCUUUAUUCAUAAAUGGAAAUUUGCUGCUCCUUCACAACA